rnacentral:sRNA from 1 species
CAACCUGGCAACUUCAGCCACAUGGUUCUGGCUUUAGAGUCAAGAUUAAAAGGAAGGGAUUAUGGACAACUAAGGAAAAUGACUGCGGCCAGGCAUGUGGCAAAGGUGUUCCUGCAAGAAGUCUAGAGAAUCUAUUGUGUGAAGCUGUGCAAAUGAAGGCUGAAUUGUGUUGGAGACUCAAGAUUCUGGAGAUGCCAGAGUCAUAGGAUAGCUGCUAAGUAAAGCUGCCAAUAGGGAGUGAAAAGAGCCCAAAAGAAAGAAGUGUGUUGCAAUCAACAAUGCUGACAGGAAUUGAGGAUUUGAAGAGCAUUUGCAUAUUAGACAUGAAGUCCACUACCAGGUGAACAAGAUGCUGCUGGCAUGAUGAGUCCACUUCCACAGAGUCCCUGCUCUUUGCCUUUGCUGACACAAUCAACUGUGACCCUCAGGAACGAUGGUUAUAUGCACGGUCGUUGAGCCAGAGAUCUAUCCGAUCUUCAGCAACUUGUCUUCUAGGCAGAAAAACUGAAGCCCUGAAUGGUGGCCAUUCUAUUAUGACCCAAAACUGGAGCAACAAGCAAUGUCUCUGAACUUCCAGAAGUUCUUCUGAGAAAGAGCACCAGUGUCCAAGCCAGGUAGUGCUUGACUACCUACUCACAGAAAAUCUCAUCGACAGUGGAAGAAUUGCCUGAAGUGGAUUGUAAAAACAGAACUGCAAGAGUCAAGAGAGUGUUGGAGGGAGUGUUCAGGCCAGAGUCUCUGUUCCAUACAGCAGCAAAUCCUAAGGCUUGAGUGGUAAGCACAUUGUAUUUGUUAUGUUUUAACUUAAAUUAUUGUUUGAGGUUUAUUCCCCAGGUGUGUAGAGGUCCUGAACCUGAACUUGAUUUUAUCUUUACUGUUAGUUUUCAGCAAGAUUCCUUUUUAAUUUGAUGUUUAUGCA